UCACCUUAAAAUCUCGAAGAAAAUGAUCUUGAGAAAAUUCGGCCCAUCACCGUAUUGGCGCCUUUGAACAGAAUAUUUUUCUCCUCAUGACAUUUUUUCUAUCAUAGAAAAUAAGCGAUAUAUUUAAGGUGGUCGUUAGGUGAAAUACCUUGUAUAACGCAUUCGUUCCUUGAAAUCAACGUGGUCCAAACGUAAAUGUAAACCGAACCUUCUGUAACGAACGUUCACUCGCGAUUACAAUCAUCAAUUUUUAGCACUCAUGCCAGUCAUGUGUCUGCAAUAGCAAAUUGUAAGACAGAAAGACUUUAUAUUCAGGUUAAACGAAACAAAUUCAUUUAUAUUCCAAAUAUAUUUAUUCAUUGUAUAUAUAAAAAAGAUUUAUCUAGCACUGCGAACUAUUAAUAUAUAACAUCUAUUACAAUACAAUAAUAUUAUAAUAAUCUCUGUUACAUUUGUAUAUGUCGAGCGUUAACGACCGGAGAAUCCGCGAGCUAGUUACGAUUUCCUCCGAGAUCACAAUAGCUGAUCGAUGCACACGGACUCUUCUGUGUGCGUUAACUCCACACACGUCGAACGUGUGCGUGCGUGAGCGACCAGUGCACUCUGGGAAAAGUGGCUGCGCGUGGAGUGGGGGUAGCCGGCGCAUGCACGGGAGUUCCCGCACAGCGGCGCGUCUACCGGGCAAAAUCUGAACUACGAUGGCGACAUGACGCAGAGCUGCAGAUACAAUGCAAUAAAACAUAAAAUGACUCACACCGCUGGGCGGGACUCGCACGCAUGCGUAGCCUACACUGGUGGCGAUUCGUAACCGAUCAACCUGCGCAGUUACUCCCUUGUCGUAUCGUUAUCUUCGCAAUUGCAACGAUUAGAAGUUUCCCGAUUAUAUUUUCAUUUCUUUGCAAAAGAAAAAAGGAAACGUUUAUUUAUCGCCUGUAUGUAUUUACUUGAAUAACUAAAUAUUGAAGCCAAUAGAAUGGAAUUUUAUUCCGAUUUAAAGGAACAGAAUAAAAUUCGUGGUGUAGCUAAGGACACGAGUUUAGGUUAUGUCAAUAAUCUGACAUGGUUAUGUCAGAAUAGUUUGUAAAAUCAACUAUGUCUACAAUCGUGGAUGGACCAUCGGCUAGAGAAUGCGCGAUGGAAACGGCGAUACCAAGAGAUGGUGACACGACGGCGACGAUAUGGGUCCACGGAACCUGCAAGACUUGACCACGUGUUGCUUAAGAAGAUCCUGCGGGACAAGCGUUCACGAGCGGUACGAAGGAUGAGAACUGGUCGCAAGGCUGGUCGAGAACGGCACGGACAUGGACGACAUCUUUGGCAAGGGUACCGAGUUGAAGAUGUCGAGGCUACGUCUCGAGCUGCUGGAGAGAGGGGGCAGUGCUGAUGCAGCGUGAAGUGGGCCUCGUGCGCCAAGUUCAAGUUAUGACAUAACCUGGCAGCGGUCUACGGGAGAAGAGGCGACCUCGGAGACCUCGGAGACCGCCCACGUGGGUAUCACAGCGAUCGCGAAGCCUCGGAAUCGUUUCGAUCGUUCAGGAAAUUCGUUCGAUAAUUGGACGAGACAAUUCCGGCUCCUUCAGGACAUAUGCGACGUUUCGAAACGAACGCCGAUCUGCUGGAACCGUUUGGAAAAAUUACGGAGGCACAAGAUCCGACGAGCGGCGCAACGAAAAACGGUGCACCAACUGCGGUGCCCUCGGUGCCCCGCCCAGAAACGGUGCACCAACUGCGGUGCGCGCGGUGCCCCACCGAGAAACGGUGCACCAACUGCGGUGCGCGCGGUGCCCCGCCCAGAAACGGUGCACCAACUGCGGUGCCCGCGGUGCCCCGCCCAGGAGAAGGCUCGCAAGUGUUACCAAUGCAUUAAGUACGCAAUGAGUAUGCAAUGAGUACCACAUUUCGCGCUAUUGCCCUACAAAUAAAUUCACCACGAAAGACCCGCCGACGGGAGAAGUGGUCACGAGAGAAACGCUCCCCCCGGGGUCAUGACGUCGACGGAAAAGAAAUUCUGAAGGAAUUAUAUUAAUAAUUAUAUUAAUAAUUAUACCUUAGUCGACACACAUGGAUACGAACCGCUACGUUUCCUUGAUCCGCUUGGACGCUGGUUGGACUCGGAAGAACUUCGAACGCACAGACGAUUCAACAUGAACGUUGUAAUGAGACGGAACGAUGACACGAGAGCUCUGAGCUCGAAGCUCCUGGCGAUCCUACGGAUCCGUUGGACCCAGCAGCGCAACGACGACGACGAAGACACCUGCUACAGAAAGUGGACGACGACCUAAAGAUCCCUAAAGGUCCCGCGGCCCAUAUCGCAUGCAAAGCGCAUGAGCACUGGACGAGCGAUGGACCGACCCGACGACGAGAGCCACGACGACGAGGGCGACAAAGCAAAAAUGAUAAGGCAUCUGGGGCCGUGUGCCUUUUCAGGAUGACCGAGUGUACAUAAAAGCCGAAGGUUAGCGAUCGGAGAAUCCGCGAGCUAGUUAGGAGAUCUUGGAACGACCUUUGAAAUCGCAAUAGCUGAUCGGUGCUCGCGGACUCUCCUGCGCGACCAGUGGACUCACAAAAAGUGGCUACGCAAGGAGUGGGGAUAGGCGGCGCAUGCGCUACUAAUUUACCGAGUGAAUUCUUUAGGUGCCACCCUGUAGACACACCGCACCGCUGGGCGGGACUCCCGCGCAUGCGUAGCCUGCCCCUACUCUUUGCGUAGCUUCGCUUCGUGUGACUACCCCUUGCCAUAUCGUUAUCUUCACAAUUGCAACGAUUAGAACUUCUUUGAUUGCAAUCAUUUCUUUGCAAAAAAAAGAUGUUUAUUUAUUGUGUGCUUGCAUUUACUGGAAUAACUAAAUAUUGAGACCAAUAGAAUGGAAUAUUCCGAUUUAUUAUGACUAGAAUGAUUCUAUCACGAGUUGGACUUGUGAAAAUACGGCAAGGGUUUAACGAUUACUAUUACGAGGAUGGCUACAAAAUUGAUCAGGAUUACGGUUUAUGGAUAGGAUAAGGACACGGUAUUAUAACAAGCGGCUUUUGUGGACCGGUUCACGAUUUUCGAUUUCCGAUAACUGAAAUAAUUAUAAGUUAUAUAUAUAUAUAUAAUAUAUAUAAUUAUAAGAGCUAAAUUCAGUUCAGCAAGAAAUAAAAGAACUUCUGAAACCAACUGGCUCUACAGAUUUAUUAAUGAUUUAUAACGUGCAUCCCUUUUUUUUCUCAGUCACGAGAUAUCCAGAGUCUCCAUAUACAGAAGAAUUACAAUAUCUGUAACAAUAUUACAUACCGUAGGCCUCGCUUUGUAUAUCGCGAGACAAGUUACCUUUCACAGGGGUACGACGACGAACGCUCUGGAAGCGGGGCACAUACGGACACCCCCCACUACCAUUUCUCAAAGGCCCAAACGGGACCAGAAAACGGACUAGUUCCAAGUCAGCUAUCAACGUUACAAGGUUAUAAGCCGCCGCCGAUUCAUUGCGACAAACUGAGAGCACGAUACAACAAAUACACUCAAUACAAUUGUGUAUUAGACUAAAAAGCUUGUAACAUACUAUCUUUUACCAAUCUACUUUGGUUGUAAAAUUCAAUUAUUCCAUUUUCUGGUUCGAAGCAGUAAUUGGUACAAACCUACAGAGACAUACAUUUACCGCUCGAGGUGUAACUUCAUUUCUUCUUGUGAAAGAACGAAACUAGUGCACACGGAGUUACCCGCUCAUUUGCGAUUAUACAGGGUAUUCCAUAAUUAUUGUACAAACAGAAAAUGAGUAGUUCCUGGAAGUGAUUUGAAGUAACUUCUUCUCCUUAGCGAAAAUGCGAUCCGCGGCUUCGUUUGCGAGUUCUUAACGAAAAACAGUGAUGAUAUCACUGUUUAAUCAUCACCAAUAAGAUGAUGAAAUCGAGAUAUCGUCGUUGCUGUUUCCAGGGACGAUAGAUUCCAACUGCUACGCCCACGGUUAAAUUCCCAAAAUCACCUGUUUCUGGUAUUUAUCCAUAUGCUCUUGGGGAAAUCAUGAAAAACCCCAAAAGAGAGAGAGAGAGAGAGAGAGAGAGAGAGAAUGAACUCAGGGUCGAGCGAAACUACCUGUAAAGGCAGCGGUGAACAUUACUAUGAA